GUGUCAGCAGCCGCGGUAAGACGAACCGUGCGAACGUUGUUCGGAAUAACUGGGCUUAAAGGGCGCGUAGGCGGGCUGACAAGUCUGGGGUGAAAUGCCGCGGCUCAACCGUGGAACUGCCUCAGAUACUGUCGGCCUCGAGGGAGGUAGGGGCGUGCGGAACUGUAGGUGGAGCGGUGAAAUGCGUUGAUAUCUACAGGAACUCCGGUGGCGAAAGCGGCGCGCUGGACCUCUUCUGACGCUGAGGCGCGAAAGCUAGGGGAGCAAACGGGAUUAGAUACCCCGGUAGUCC
rnacentral:rRNA from 1 species